rnacentral:rRNA from 1 species
UACAGAGAGUGCAAACGUUGUUCGGAAUUACUGGGCUUAAAGCGCACGUAGGCGGCACCGCAAGUGUCAGGUGAAAUCCCACGGCUUACCCGUGGAACUGCCUGGCAUACUGCGGAGCUAGAGAGUGGUAGGGGAGAGCGGAACUCCUGGUGGAGCGGUGAAAUGCGUAGAUAUCAGGAGGAACACCGGUGGCGAAGGCGGCUCUCUGGUUCACAACUGACGCUGAGGUGCGAAAGCUAGGGGAGCAAACGGG